GGGGCAUUUGGACACUGGGCGCAGCCUGAUCCAGCCAUGCCGCGUGAGUGAUGAAGGCCUUCGGGUUGUAAAGCUCUUUUGUCCGGAAAGAUAAGGACCGGGCCUAGUACAGUAAGGUCCGUGACGGCUCCGGACGAAUAAGCGCCGGCUAACUUCGUGCCAGCAGCCGCGGUAAUUA
rnacentral:rRNA from 1 species